GUCGUUGGCGUGCAGUUAGCAUGUUGUCAUGUCAUUCCUGUGUCGUUGGUGUGCAGUUGCCAUGUUGCCAUGUGAUUCCCGUGUCCUUGGCGUGUCGUUGCCCUGUUGCCAUGUCAUUCCCGCGUCAUUGGCGUGUCGUUGCCAUGUUUCCCUGUCAUUACCAUGUCGCUGGCAUGUGGUUGCUGUGUUGUCGUGUCAUUACCAUGUCAUUGCAUGUCAUUGGCGUGUCGUUGCGAUGUCGUCCCGUGCUUGGCGUGUCGUUGCCGUGCCAUUGCCGUGUAGCCGUGUCAUUCCCGCGUCGUUGGCGUGCCGUUGC
rnacentral:lncRNA from 1 species